rnacentral:rRNA from 1 species
AGUGAACGCUGGCGGUAGGCCUAACACAUGCAAGUCGAACGGCAGCACAGUAAGAGCUUGCUCUUACGGGUGGCGAGUGGCGGACGGGUGAGGAAUACAUCGGAAUCUACUUUUUCGUGGGGGAUAACGAAGGGAAACUUACGCUAAUACCGCAUACGACCUAUGGGUGAAAGCAGGGGAUCUUCGGACCUUGCGCGAUUGAAUGAGCCGAUGUCGGAUUAGCUAGUUGGCGGGGUAAAGGCCCACCAAGGCGACGAUCCGUAGCUGGUCUGAGAGGAUGAUCGCCCACACUGGAACUGAGACACGGUCCAGACUCCUACGGGAGGCAGCAGUGUGGAAUAUUGGACAAUGGGCGCAAACCUGAUCCAGCCAUACCGCGUGGGUGAAGAAGGCCUUCGGGUUGUAAAGCCCUUUUGUUGGGAGAGAAAAGCAGCAGGUUAAUACCCCGCUGUUCUGACGGUACCCAAAGAAUAAGCACCGGCUAACUUCGUG